GCCUGGGUGGCUCAGCUGGUUAAGCAUCAGACUUGGACUCAGGUCAUGAUCUCACAGUUCGUGGGUUCAAGCCCUGCAUCAGGCU
rnacentral:tRNA from 1 species